rnacentral:rRNA from 1 species
GCAGUCGACGGAUCCUUCGGGAUAGUGGCGGACGGGUGAGUAACACGUGGGAACGUGCCCUUUGGUUCGGAACAACUCAGGGAAACUUGAGCUAAUACCGGAUAAGCCUUUCGAGGGAAAGAUUUAUCGCCAUUGGAGCGGCCCGCGUAGGAUUAGCUAGUUGGUGGGGUAAAGGCCCACCAAGGCUACGAUCCUUAGCUGGUCUGAGAGGAUGAUCAGCCACAUUGGGACUGAGACACGGCCCAAACUCCUACGGGAGGCAGCAGUGGGGAAUCUUGCGCAAUGGGCGAAAGCCUGACGCAGCCAUGCCGCGUGAAUGAUGAAGGUCUUAGGAUUGUAAAAUUCUUUCACCGGGGACGAUAAUGAAGGUACCCGGAGAAGAAGCCCCGGCUAACUUCGUGCCAGCAGCCGCGGUAAUACAAAGGGGGCUAGCGUUGCUCGGAAUUACUGGGCGUAAAGG